AAUGGAGUCAAAAGGUGGGGAAAAGUCUAGUAGUAGGAGUUCAUUAUAGUACGAAGCUCCCCUUGGCUACAACAUUGAAGAUGUUUGACCACAUGAAGGAAUCAAGAAGUUCUAAUUUGUUGCUUACUCCAAUUGGGAUACAAAUUACUGAAGCACUCAAAAUACAGAUGGAGGUGCAAAAACGGCUUCAAGAACAAUUAGAGGGAGCAACAAAUACAACCUCAGGGGUGUGAUUGGGAAGUACUUCGAUAGAUCUAUGUACAUCUCACCUAAGAUUUCACUCUAUUAUUUGG